rnacentral:misc_RNA from 1 species
UUUUUUUUUUUUCUUUUUUGAAGUCCUUUAUUGUCUGGCAUUAUAAUUGUUUCAAUUAGAUAUUUUUGCUAAUUAGCUGCUUUGACAGAAAAAAAUGUGGUCAUUGCACUAUGCUUCAUCAUAAGUUUCUGCUCUUUAUCUCAUGUUUCAUGUUAAGCAAUUUUAUUAUUGAUUAGAAUUACACCUUUGGGGUAAUUAUUCUAUUACCAAAUUCAGAACAUAUGUGAACAAAAUGAACUUCUUGCUACCUGCUUGUCUAGAAAGGUUGCUCCAAUGCAUGAGGCAUUGAAGCUUCCUACAUAUUGGGCUUUAGGGAGGUUUGGAGUUACACAAGCUCCCCCUCGCAUUACAUAGAGGCUGUAUCAAUGGUUUGAACCCAUGAUCUCUUGGUUAUGAUGGAGAAAUCUCACCUCUAUAUCAAGGCUCACUUUUCUUGGCAUCUUUAUGUUUGAAAGGAAAAUAAUUAACUUAUAUAGCAAACAACCCUGAUGAGUGAGGACUGAAGAAAAGGAUAAUUUUUUUUGAUAAUUCAUAAGGUCAAAUAUCCAUCUAAUAUCUAUUUGAACUUUCUCAAUGUGGUGUGUGGCUAACAAACUUUAUGGUCUCUGCUCAAUGUUUGUAAGAUACUUGUCAUGGAAAAUAAAGUUGAGUUAUGUUCAUCUUAUUUGAAAGCCCUUAGCCAUGUAAAUACCAGCUCUAGUAUGGUGAGCAUUUAUUUUAGGCUGAGGGAGUGUGAAAUUAAUUUAUUAAUGAAGCCAUUCAGUUCAUACUCACCAUGAAAGUGAAAAGGCAUGAGAAUACAUGGGCAGGUGCAUAAUUACGUGUGACAAAGUUUUCCUGUCCUUUGUGUUGAUACUGGUUUUGCAGCUCUUCUAUCUGUGUUAUGUCUUCACUUUUUACUUUCUUUUCUUUCUUGCUAAUGCUGUGCAAAUAUUGAACAUUACAGUGUUCCUUUUUUGUUUUUUUAAUCAAUUUUAAAAUUUCUAGUGCUAAUGUAUCUUCUUCACAUUGUUUAGGGACGUGACAUUCCAAUUGUCCAUCGAGUAAUUGAGGUAAAAUAUCUGCAAAAUUCUUUUUGUUUUGUCUAUCUAUAUUUGUUUGGAUUCCAGUCUACAGGUAUGCAUUGGGCAGUAUGAGCAGGUUUGACCACAUUAUAGGCACCGGGACAUGCUUAUGAUGUAUAGAACUUACCCAAAUGAAAGAUGUAAUGCUAUGGAGUUAUUGACCCUCAUAGGAAGGAAAACAACUUCAAUCAUGAAAUUUUAGCAUCCAGCAUUCUGUCUCUUCAGCUCAAUUUUAAUUGUAGGAUGUCUAAUUUUGUCACAAGGAAGCAUACUGGCUGAGCAUACGAAGAAACCUAUCUUCUCACCUUACUAUCAUUUUAAGGACUUCAGAUUGCUCAUGGGUAUUCAAUAUCUGUCCACAAAAGUGAAUUGGGUGAUUCCAGAAACUGUUAAACCAUCAUUCCCAAAAUUGGUUAAUACCACGGCACUCUUCAUAUCUAGGAAUAUAUAAACUCAUAAUAAAAUUGAUUAGUGUGAAAAGUUUAGGAUAUUAAAUGUGUGAUGAUUUAGUAGUACAUUUUGAACUUCCCUCUCUUGAACAACAACAGCAAAUAUACCUUAAUCCCAAACUUCUCUCUAUUAAAGUUGCUAAAAUCUGUUUCAGCAUGCAAAAAAGCUGUGAGUGGAAUUUUUUGCAAGUGAAUCACAUGUAUGUACCCCAGAUUAGUUUAUAUGAUGGUUGACAGUAACAACAAAUAUGCAUAUUUGUAUCAUGUCAUUCCUUUGCAGGUCCAUGAGAGACAAGAUACCAGAGAUGUUGAUAUCCUCACAAAAGGAGACAAUAAUAAGCAGGAUGAUAGGCUUUUGUAUUCUCAUGGUCAGCAUUGGUUGAAGCCACAACGUAUCCUGGGGAGAGCUGUUGGGUAUGUCAUGCUUAUGGAUUUUUUCUUUCUUUAUAAAAAAAUGUUACCAUAUUGUGAAACAAUUCUAGGACAAGAUUUAAAAUUGCUCAUAUCCAGUUUUUAUCUUGCAAAAUUUUAAUUAAUUGGGCGUAUCCCAGUUUAUUGAGAGAUUACCAUAAGGCAAAUUCUGAAUACAUUUUGUAAUGUCAUAUACUGUAAUGUACUGUUUUUAUCUAAUAUUACUUGAUUAAAUGUUUGAACAUCUAGGCAUAGUGAAACUCUCCAGGCUAGUUCAUUUGUUAAAUGAUUUUUCGUAGUCAUUUUGGUGUAAGAAACAUGGCUAUUCUCACUUGAUUUAUCUGAUCUUUAAUUUUCUGUUCCUGCAGGUUCUUGCCUUAUGUUGGCUGGGUGACAAUUGUCAUGACUGAGAAGCCUCUUGUCAAGGUUGUUUUAAAGCUUUUGUAAUAACAUGAGAUCUUUAAUUACACUUACGCUUAGUUUUUGAUGAGAAAAUCAAAAAAGCUUUUUGUAGAGAUCAUUUUCGAGCUGAAACUGCACAUUACAUUUAAUUUUCUGUUGGUUUUGCUUGCAGUACAUACUUAUAAGCACGUUGGCUUUGCUGGUCAUUACCUCAAAAGAUUAGGGAAACAAGUCUUCAAGACUAGUUAGGUACCAUAUAAGCAUUUUUCUCUUUUGAAACACAAGCAAAGAAAUAUAGAUAUUCAUCUCAAAAAUUAUAUAACAUGAAAGAACAGAUCAUGUUUAUUGUGCUGCACUCAGUUGAUGGAACAUAUUUAUUAGUCUAUUAGCUGAGAAGAUACAGUUAAUGCUAAAUAAAAUACGUGACUUUAGACGUCUUAUCCCUUUUCAUGGUUGAUUUCUUAUGGGAUUAACAUUCUCAAAUGAUU